rnacentral:rRNA from 1 species
AUUGAACGCUGGCGGCAGGCCUAACACAUGCAAGUCGAACGGUAGCACAAAGGAGCUUGCUCCUUGGGUGACGAGUGGCGGACGGGUGAGUAAUGUCUGGGAAACUGCCCGAUGGAGGGGGAUAACUACUGGAAACGGUAGCUAAUACCGCAUAACGUCGCAAGACCAAAGAGGGGGACCUUCGGGCCUCUUGCCAUCGGAUGUGCCCAGAUGGGAUUAGCUAGUAGGUGGGGUAACGGCUCACCUAGGCGACGAUCCCUAGCUGGUCUGAGAGGAUGACCAGCCACACUGGAACUGAGACACGGUCCAGACUCCUACGGGAGGCAGCAGUGGGGAAUAUUGCACAAUGGGCGCAAGCCUGAUGCAGCCAUGCCGCGUGUAUGAAGAAGGCCUUCGGGUUGUAAAGUACUUUCAGCGAGGAGGAAGGUGUUGUGGUUAAUAACCGCAGCAAUUGACGUUACUCGCAGAAGAAGCACCAGCUAACUCCGUGCCAGCCGCCGCAGUAACAC